rnacentral:misc_RNA from 1 species
CAACAGAAGUGACAAAACUGUAGCAAGUUAACCGUGAGAGUUGGUACACCAGAACCAUAUAGCCUCCAGUUAAAAGAAUAUGAAUUGACCAGAACAAUUACCGAAUGUCAAUACAUCUUUGAUAUUAGGUUAAAAAAUGCUAAAACUUGUGUUUGAGUAUGUUCUUCCAAGUAUUUGUGAAGCUAUAAAGAGCAAAGUAGACUGCAAAUAACUAGUGAGACAAUUUUCUAGCAGAUUUCUAUUCAAGCCUUCAAUGCACGCACGUAAUAAUUAAAACUAAACAACAAGCCCGCUACUCCUAGAAGGGAAAUCAAAACUAAGUCACGUAUAUAAAUCUGAAGCUCCAAGUCGAAAUUUCAUAACUUGGAUAAAAAUUGAAUAAAGCAACACCUAGGAGUUUCCAUACUCAUAUAAGAUAAUCAAUGACCUGAUAUAAAACAUAAUUUGGAACCGUAGGGAGAAGUAAAACAGCAAAGAAACAAAAACUCUAAAGCCCUAAAACAAAUGUACAAAAACAUGAACCCUAACCAGGAUCGCACUGUUGAUAAAACUCUUCCACAUCAGUGGUGA